AAAUCUGAAAUAUUUUAUGUUAAAUGAAAUGUUUUCUGCCGUGGAUUAACAGCCAAAGGAAAUUCCUCAGUUCUGCUUUUACCAGUGUCCAUUCCACCAAAAUGCUUUGUUACAGUUAGUCGUGGUUCUAAAUUGUUAACAAUUUCCACCUGUCAUCAUGUAACAAGGCCAAAGUUCAACUUUAAUUAUAUUGUAUUCCUAUGUACACAUAAAUUAUUGAGCACCUUUUGUAUGAUCAGCUGUUCCUACUACUGUUCAUAUAUUUCCUACUUUCAUGUAAAGAGUAAACUAUGAAUUGCAACAAGGAGCUAGCAAUACAUUUCAAAAUUCAAAGUAUUUUUUUGCUUGUUUGAAGGUUAUAUUUAGAUGAAUUUUCCAUCCAGGAUAUAAUAAAAUUCAAUGUCAAUGAUUGUCUAAAUCUUUGAAGGUUACGCAGCAAAAUAAGAUGACUGAGUUACAUUUCCUCCUCGUACUCACCUUGAUGAUUCUGUAGUUCAGAUUGCUUCCAGUGCUUCCACAGACGCUGCGCUCACGAGAGCCUCGACCAGAGCAACGCUGUAGGUUUUCCUUCAGCUAUGAGCAACAUCUGACUUUUAAUAACGUUCUACUUCCUGAAAAAGUCCUCACCUUCAAGCUUAUCAGUGGAGAGAGGGGUGUGGUGGAGUUAAUGGUUAACUCCGGGGAGUGAACGGAUGGCAGCGAAGAAAUCCUCUCACAGCUGUGUGAUUUCAGCAGACUCUUUAUUUUAUACGAGGGAGCACAGCUGAUGAAGUGUUUAGUGUCAGGAUGCAGCGGUGCAUGAAAGUGUGUAAAACUGUAGCAAAGUGUGUACCUGCAAAACAAACAUCCAGCAGCUUGAUUUAACCCAUAAAAAGCCACACAGUUUUAAAGUCUGACAGGUCGAAUUACUUGGAGAUUUUUGGCGCCACCUAAACAACUUCUUAUAGUGCUAUUCAAGUAACAACAACUGCAAUUGUACAUUCAGUUUCUACACUGUGCAUAAUGAAGUCAUAAAACAUUAUAUAAACACUUGGUCAAACAUAUAGAAGUGGUAAUAAUCAAUAAACAUGUUAAUGUGAAAUAAAAAGAACAGCAGUGAGUGAAGGUGAUGAUAGUGACGUUUUCCACUGCAAACAGGACAUUUACUUCAAGUCUGAAUUGGAUGCUCCUUCUGUUCGGCGGCGCCGUGUGAAGAGACGUUUCUUCAGAGAGGAAAGCAAGGCCACAAGAACUCGGCUAAAAAGGCUCCUAGUUUAUCUGCUAAAGGGCGUUGCAUUAAAGUUACCUGAAAUAUUUGGAUUUUUAAUAGAUCACGUGAC